CUUCUUUGAGUUGAAUACUCACUGAGUGGCAACACUUAAUUAUCUUCACAGAGAGUUUGGAGCAGCUGAUAGGAGGUGAGAUGAACAACCAGACACCCGCCCAAAGGCUAUACUGUUUGAGUAAUCCCUGCACAGAGGUGUUUGUGUACUAGACUGGCUGUCGGUGUGAACAUCUGAAGCUGUCUUUCUUUUGGUACAAGGCGAGUUUGACUCCUGUGAUAGGAGUCCACCAUUCCUGCGGACCCUUAUGGUCCUCUUUCCAUUAUUAGUUUUCCUACUCAUAAUUUUUCUCCCAGCUGUAUGUUGAAUGCAUAGAAUUAACCCACGAAUGCAUAGGUUUGCAUUAAUACUUUCUAUCUGAGGCGUGGAUUGUGUCUCCAGCUAGUGGACAGAAGUGUUUAUGACAUCUGUGUUGCUUUACCUGUUCAGAAUAUAUGAUGAUUUAUAUAACUUUUUAUGAUAUUAAAAAUGUUA